rnacentral:rRNA from 1 species
AUUGAACGCUGGCGGCAGGCCUAACACAUGCAAGUCGAGCGGAUGAAGGGAGCUUGCUCCUGGAUUCAGCGGCGGACGGGUGAGUAAUGCCUAGGAAUCUGCCUGGUAGUGGGGGAUAACGUCCGGAAACGGGCGCUAAUACCGCAUACGUCCUGAGGGAGAAAGUGGGGGAUCUUCGGACCUCACGCUAUCAGAUGAGCCUAGGUCGGAUUAGCUAGUUGGUGGGGUAAAGGCCUACCAAGGCGACGAUCCGUAACUGGUCUGAGAGGAUGAUCAGUCAACAUGGAAAUGAGACAAGGUCCAGACUCCUAAGGGAGGCAGCAGUGGGGAAUAUUGGACAAUGGGCGAAAGCCUGAUCCAGCCAUGCCGCGUGUGUGAAGAAGGUCUUCGGAUUGUAAAACACUUUAAGUUGGGAGGAAGGGCAGUAAGUUAAUACCUUGCUGUUUUGACGUUACCAACAGAAUAAGCACCGGCUAACUUCGUG